GAUGAACGCUAGCGGCAGGCUUAACACAUGCAAGUCGAGGGGUAUAGGUUUUCGGACCUAGAGACCGGCGCACGGGUGCGUAACGCGUAUGCAAUCUACCUUUCACAGAGGGAUGGCCCAGAGAAAUUUGGAUUAAUACCUCAUAGUAUAGCAGUUUCGCAUGAAACCACUAUUAAAGUUCCAACGGUGGAAGAUGAGCAUGCGUCCCAUUAGCUAGAUGGUAAGGUAACGGCUUACCAUGGCUACGAUGGGUAGGGGUCCUGAGAGGGAGAUCCCCCACACUGGUACUGAGACACGGACCAGACUCCUACGGGAGGCAGCAGUGAGGAAUAUUGGUCAAUGGACGCAAGUCUGAACCAGCCAUGCCGCGUGCAGGAUGACGGUCCUAUGGAUUGUAAACUGCUUUUGUACGAGAAGAAACAACAUUACGUGUAAUGUCUUGACGGUAUCGUAAGAAUAAGGAUCGGCUAACUCCGUGCCAGCCGCCGCCGUAAAAC
rnacentral:rRNA from 1 species